rnacentral:tRNA from 1 species
CUUAGCUCAGCUGGAUAGAGCAACAGCCUUCUAAGCUGUGGGUCGAGGGUUCAAAUCCUUCAG